rnacentral:rRNA from 1 species
GAUGAACGCUGGCGGCGUGCCUAAUACAUGCAAGUCGAGCGAAUGGAUUAAGAGCUUGCUCUUAUGAAGUUAGCGGCGGACGGGGGAGUAUCACGUGGGUAACCUGCCCAUAAGACUGGGAUAACUCCGGGAAACCGGGGCUAAUACCGGAUAACAUUUUGAACCGCAUGGUUCGAAAUUGAAAGGCGGCUUCGGCUGUCACUUAUCGGUGGACCCGCGUCGCAUUAGCUAGUUGGUGAGGUACCGGCGCACCAAGGCAACGAUGCGUAGCCGACCUGAGAGGGUGAUCGGCCACACUGGGACUGAGACAAGGCCCAGACUCCUACGGGAGGCAGCAGUAGGGAAUCUUCCGCAAUGGACGAAAGUCUGACGGAGCAACGCCGCGUGAGUGAUGAAGGCUUUCGGGUCGUAAAACUCUGUUGUUAGGGAAGAACAAGUGCUAGUUGAAUAAGCUGGCACCUUGACGGUACCUAACCAGAAAGCCACGGCUAACUACGUGCCAGCAGCCGCCGUAA